rnacentral:rRNA from 1 species
UACGUAGGGAGCAAGCGUUGUCCGGAAUCAUUGGGCGUAAAGCGCGCGUAGGUGGCCUCAUAAGUCCGUUGUGAGAGUCAAAGGCUCAACCUUUGAAAGCCGAUGGAUACUGUGAGACUAGAGUACGGAAGAGGCGAGUGGAAUUCCUGGUGUAGCGGUGGAAUGCGCAGAUAUCAGGAGGAACACCAAUAGCGAAGGCAGCUCGCUGGGACGUUACUGACACUGAGGCGCGAAAGCGUGGGGAGCGAACAGG